rnacentral:piRNA from 1 species
UGAUCCUUCGAUGGGCACUGGGACA